CUGAAUGAAUGAUGCAGCUUAGCCAAAUCAGACAUUCAUGUGCUCCACAAAGCAUUAUCUUUUAAAGCCAUAUGGCACUUCGAGAGUGCAAGCAUUGGUUGAUGUGCUCUGUGUUGAAGUGCAGUUUUUUUGAUGAUAAACGAAGAGAUUGGUUGUUUACUGACCAGA